AAUCAACCGAGAUUCCGAAAGUAGCGGCGAGCGAAAUUGGAUUAGCCCUUAAGCUUUUAAUGAUGCAGGUGAAGCCUCUGGAAAGUGGCGCAGUAAAGGGUGAUAGCCCCGUAACCGACACAUCAUCAUCAGUGAAAUCGAGUAAGGCGGGACACGUGAUAUCCUGUCUGAAUAUGGGGGGACCAUCCUCCAAGGCUAAAUACUACUGACUGACCGAUAGUGAACCAGUACCGUGAGGGAAAGGCGAAAAGAACCCCUGUGAGGGGAGUGAAAUAGAACCUGAAACCGUGUACGUACAAGCAGUAGGAGCACCUUCGUGGUGUGACUGCGUACCUUUUGUAUAAUGGGUCAGCGACUUAAUUUUAGUAGCAAGGUUAACCGUUUAGGGGAGCCGUAGGGAAACCGAGUCUUAACUGGGCGUACAGUUGCUAGGAUUAGACCCGAAACCAGGUGAUCUAGCCAUGGGCAGGUUGAAGGUUGAGUAACAUCAACUGGAGGACCGAACCGACUAAUGUUGAAAAAUUAGCGGAUGACUUGUGGCUAGGGGUGAAAGGCCAAUCAAACCUGGAGAUAGCUGGUUCUCCCCGAAAGCUAUUUAGGUAGCGCCUCGGACGAAUACUACUGGGGGUAGAGCACUGUUAAGGCUAGGGGGUCAUCCCGACUUACCAACCCUUUGCAAACUCCGAAUACCAGUAAGUACUAUCCGGGAGACACACGGCGGGUGCUAACGUCCGUCGUGGAGAGGGAAACAACCCAGACCGCCAGCUAAGGUCCCAAAGUAUAGCUAAGUGGGAAACGAUGUGGGAAGGCUCAGACAGCCAGGAUGUUGGCUUAGAAGCAGCCAUCAUUUAAAGAAAGCGUAAUAGCUCACUAGUCGAGUCGGCCUGCGCGGAAGAUGUAACGGGGCUAAGCUAUACACCGAAGCUGCGGCUACGUACCUUUGGGUAUGUGGGGUAGGGGAGCGUUCUGUAAGCCGUUGAAGGUGUGUUGUAAAGCAUGCUGGAGGUAUCAGAAGUGCGAAUGCUGACAUGAGUAACGAUAAAGGGGGUGAAAAACCUCCUCGCCGGAAGACCAAGGGUUCCUGUCCAACGUUAAUCGGGGCAGGGUGAGUCGACCCCUAAGGCGAGGCCGAAAGGCGUAGUCGAUGGGAAACGGGUUAAUAUUCCCGUACUUCUUACAAUUGCGAUGGGGGGACGGAGAAGGCUAGGUGGGCCUGGCGACGGUUGUCCAGGUUCAAGUACGUAGGCGGAAAGUUUAGGUAAAUCCGGACUUUCUUAACGCUGAGAUACGAUGUCGAGCACCUACGGGUGUGAAGUCAUUGAUGCCAUGCUUCCAGGAAAAGCCUCUAAGCUUCAGAUUGUAAGGAAUCGUACCCCAAACCGACACAGGUGGUCGGGUAGAGAAUACCAAGGCGCUUGAGAGAACUCGGGUGAAGGAACUAGGCAAAAUGGUACCGUAACUUCGGGAGAAGGUACGCUCUUAUCAGUGAAGUCCCUUGCGGAUGGAGCAGACGAGAGUCGCAGAUACCAGGUGGCUGCAACUGUUUAUUAAAAACACAGCACUGUGCAAAAUCGUAAGAUGACGUAUACGGUGUGACGCCUGCCCGGUGCCGGAAGGUUAAUUGAUGGGGUUAGACUUCGGUCGAAGCUCUUGAUCGAAGCCCCGGUAAACGGCGGCCGUAACUAUAACGGUCCUAAGGUAGCGAAAUUCCUUGUCGGGUAAGUUCCGACCUGCACGAAUGG
rnacentral:rRNA from 1 species